rnacentral:rRNA from 1 species
AACGAACGCUGGCGGCAGGCUUAACACAUGCAAGUUGAACGCCCCGCAAGGGGAGUGGCAGACGGGUGAGUAACGCGUGGGAAUCUACCCAUCUCUGCGGAAUAGCUCCGGGAAACUGGAAUUAAUACCGCAUAUGCCCUACGGGGGAAAGAUUUAUCGGGGAUGGAUGAGCCCGCGUUGGAUUAGCUAGUUGGUGGGGUAAAGGCCUACCAAGGCGACGAUCCAUAGCUGGUCUGAGAGGAUGAUCAGCCACAUUGGGACUGAGACACGGCCCAAACUCCUACGGGAGGCAGCAGUGGGGAAUAUUGGACAAUGGGCGCAAGCCUGAUCCAGCCAUGCCGCGUGAGUGAUGAAGGCCUUAGGGUUGUAAAGCUCUUUCACCGGUGAAGAUAAUGACGGUAACCGGAGAAGAAGCCCCGGCUAACUUCGUGCCAGCAGCCGCGGUAA